UCGGGAAUUUUGGGCAAUGGGCGAAAGCCUGACCCAGCAACGCCGCGUGAAGGAUGAAGUAUUUCGGUAUGUAAACUUCGAAAGAAUAGGAAGAAUAAAUGACGGUACUAUUUAUAAGGUCCGGCUAACUACGUGCCAGCAGCCGCGGUAAUACGUAGGGACCAAGCGUUGUUCGGAUUUACUGGGCGUAAAGGGCGCGUAGGCGGCAAUUCAAGUCAUCUGUGAAAUCUCCGGGCUUAACUCGGAACGGUCAGAUGAUACUGCUUUGCUAGAGUGCAGAAGGGGCAAUCGGAAUUCUUGGUGUAGCGGUGAAAUGCGUAGAUAUCAAGAGGAACACCUGUGGCGAAGGCGGCUAACUGGUCCGGUACUGACGCUGAGGUGCGAAAGCGUGGGGAGCAAACAGGAUUAGAUACCCUCGUAGUCCCUGAGCGGGCUGGCAAGGCGCAU
rnacentral:rRNA from 1 species